UACGAGGGGAGCUAGCGUUAUCCGGAAUUAUUGGGCGUAAAGAGCUCGUAGGCGGUUUGUCGCGUCUGCCGUGAAAGUCCGGGGCUCAACUCCGGAUCUGCGGUGGGUACGGGCAGACUAGAGUGAUGUAGGGGAGACUGGAAUUCCUGGUGUAGCGGUGAAAUGCGCAGAUAUCAGGAGGAACACCGAUGGCGAAGGCAGGUCUCUGGGCAUUAACUGACGCUGAGGAGCGAAAGCAUGGGGAGCGAACAAG
rnacentral:rRNA from 1 species